rnacentral:rRNA from 1 species
AUACGGAGGGUGCAAGCGUUACUCGGAAUCACUGGGCGUAAAGCGCGCGUAGGUGGUUAGACAAGUCAGAUGUGAAAGCCCCGGGCUCAACCUGGGAACUGCAUUUGAAACUGUUUGGCUAGAGUAUGGUAGAGGUGAGUGGAAUUUCAGGUGUAGCGGUGAAAUGCGUAGAGAUCUGAAGGAACAUCAGUGGCGAAGGCGACUCACUGGGCCAUUACUGACACUGAGGUGCGAAAGCGUGGGUAGCAAACAGGAUUAGAAACCCUGGUAGUCC